GGGGCUGAGCACCAAACGCGAAGGGGCCAGCUCCUUCCACGACUGUGAGGCCAAAGGUGAGCGACCCAACACACCAGACUGGAUCAGCCUCGCUGUGUGGCCUCCCAUCCAGUGCUCUCCUGGGCAUUACUACAACACCACGGUUCAUCGGUGCAUUCGCUGCCCUCUUGGCACAUACCAGACUGAGUUCCGGCAGAACUACUGCAUCUCCUGCCCUGGCAACACCACUACCGACUUCGAUGGAGCCACGUCUGUCUCCCAGUGCAAGAAUAGGGAAUGUGGGGGAGAGAUGGGCGAGUUUACUGGCUAUAUUGAGUCGCCCAACUAUCCAGGAAACUACCCCGCCAACGUGGAAUGCACCUGGAACAUCAACCCCCCGCCAAAACGCAAGAUUCUCAUCGUAGUGCCCGAGAUAUUCCUGCCCUCAGAGGAUGAGUGUGGAGACGUACUGGUCAUGAGGAAGAACUAGGACUAUGAACAGCUGGUGGAAAACAUUGUGAGGGAUGGAAGACUCUACGCCUCUGAAAAUCACCAAGAAAUCCUCAAGGACAAAAAGUUGAUAAAGACCCUGUUCGAUGUGCUGGCCCACCCACUCAACUACUUCAAAUACACGACCAGGGAGUCCAACGAGAUGCUGCCCCGCUCCUUCAUACGCCUCAUCAGCAGCAAAGUCUCAGAAUUCCUGCGGCCAUACAAGUAGUCCCCGGGCCCCACCCUCUCCCAACGCCACCAG